rnacentral:rRNA from 1 species
AUUGAACGCUGGCGGCAUGCUUUACACAUGCAAGUCGAACGGCAGCGCGGGCUUCGGCCUGGCGGCGAGUGGCGAACGGGUGAGUAAUACAUCGGAACGUGCCCAGUAGUGGGGGAUAGCUCGGCGAAAGCCGGAUUAAUACCGCAUACGACCUGAGGGUGAAAGCGGGGGAUCUUCGGACCUCGCGCUAUUGGAGCGGCCGAUGGCAGAUUAGCUAGUUGGUGGGGUAAAGGCCUACCAAGGCGACGAUCUGUAGCUGGUCUGAGAGGACGACCAGCCACACUGGGACUGAGACACGGCCCAGACACCUACGGGAGGCAGAAGUGGGGAAUUUUGGACAAUGGGCGAAAGCCUGAUCCAGCAAUGCCGCGUGUGUGAGGAAGGGCUUCGGGUUGUAAAGCACUUUUGGCGGGAACGAAAAGGACUGUGCCAAUACCACGGUUCGAUGACGGUACCCGCAGAAUAAGCACCGGCUAACUACGUG